rnacentral:lncRNA from 1 species
UUUUUUUUUUUUUUUUUUGGAAGAGAGAAGAUCAACUCCUCCAUAAUCAUUCCUUAUAACUUCUCCUCCCUUUGGAGAGUUGGCUCCCAAGAGAAACACUAGAACAUUAGCGCAGCUGAGUAGUUAGGUAAAUUCUGAGUAGUUUUCCCAAUCUUAAAAUCCUGGGCUCAAGUAAAAGGCUCAAGGCUUAUGGUAAUAGUGGCUCUGAGAACUCAGAUUAUGUCAUCAGGCUGUUUUCUUCUCCUCAUCUCUCAAACAAGGUUUCUUCCACAGGUCCCACAAUAGCCCCAGGGCUCCAAGAUACAUUAACUUAGAAAUUCCCUAAGGAAGGAGAACUCAGGAUAAUUGUGGCACAAAGUUGAGGAGGACUCUGAUGCCUAACUUGGAUCACAUGACCAAGCUGGAUCCAAUCACUGUGGCCAGGGAGAUGCCACAUUCUGAUUGGCUAGUCUAGGAGGUGUGCCUACCUCUGUCGAAAGAUGACUCAGCCCCAAAUGAAACUACGUAAAAUGAGUUCCCCAAAGAAAGAAAUGAGAGAGUUAAAAAUGAACGAUCAAUGAAAAGCAAGAUAGUGAGUUCCCCGUUGUGGCUCACUGGUUAACAAACCCGACUAGCAUCGAUGAGGAUGCAGGUUCAAUUGCUGGCCUUGCUCAGUGGGUCAAGGAUCUGGUGUUGCUGUGAGCUGUGGUAUAGGUUGCAGACAUGGCUCGGAUCCUGCAUUGCUGUGGCUCUGGCCUAGGCUGGCAUCUACAGCUCCAGUUAGACCCCUAGCCUGGGAACCUCCGUAUGUCACAGGUGUGGCCAUAAAAAGACAAAAAUAGAGAGAGAGAGAGAAAACAAACAAACAUAAAAGACUGUGUAAUUGUGGGAAGAGGAGAAAGAGAGAGAAAGAGAAAAGAAAGGUUUUUUUUUUGACUUUCUAAUUCUUAGAUACAGUUCUUGAGACUUAGCUACAUUGCCUGCUCUUGGGGUCCACAAGAUAGCGCUCAUGAGCCUAAGGUAAAACUUAUGGCCAAACCCAGACUCAUUGUAUGAGAGGACCAAAAAGGUCUGGCUCUCAGAAGGAUGAUGCACUGAGAGGACAUUAAGGUAACAGUUUACCAAACUCUUCACAAAUUUCAAAGUGCUUUCAUGUACAUUAGCUUAUCUGAGCACCAUAAUAACCCUGUGAAACACUCCAAACUGAUAUCAUUAUUGUAGCCAUCAGGGUCCAGUCAGGAGAUAGAAAUAUCAUCACAAAUUUUAACAAGAAAAAAUAUAACAUCAAGAAUUAUUGAAUGUUAUAGGUAACUAGUAACUGGGAGAAGAUAAAAGAAUAACCUAGGAGUAAGGGAGAGUUCCCAGGAAAAGAACAAACUUCGAUUCACAUCUCAUUGGGAGAGUGUAGCGUGGGGUGAGCACCUGUGGCCCCCUGGAAGGCGGAGAAGUUUGCUGAGUUGCCCCAGAGCUGGUUACCAGCUGGUGGACUAAGGCUGGUGAGCCAGGGACCAUGGGCCUCUCACCAAGAUGCCAGCAAGCUUGCAGGGGUAGGAGUGGCCCUGGUGGUUCUAUAUGCAUGCCAUUUGCAGCCACACCAUAGGAACAAAAAGAAAAGACUAAUUAAUAAUGGAACCAGGAAAGGACGCACCUUCACUGUCCCUGUAGCACGCUCCACUGACAAUGGUUUCCACUGUGCAAGCUAGCAAAGAAGUAUUUAUAGGUCCAGCUCCAGCAUCACUAAGCAGGGCAACAAAGUGAACUGAGAAGCACUACAGAGAUAGCUGGCACAGUCCAUCCCUUUGGCUUCCUCCCUCCCGUGUGCACCCUUUCACAGACAUUUGAACUCCUAUAUGAAAACAAAACUCCUUCAUGUUCCCGCCCAACAAGACAGCUUUCUUUUGUAAAAGUGAGGAAGUGCUCAUCCUUUUCUCAAAAUGAGGAGUCAUAGUCCCAAGAGUCAUUCUAUCCAUCAUCAGUUAUGUUAAUAACUUUCAAGAUCAGUGACAGUUCCAGUGAAUAUUUGUGGCCUACAGAUUAAAAUCAGCCUCUAACAACGUAUAUAUAAGAUAAUAACGGGAAAGAGAGAGAACGUGUUUGUCAUACAAGUAAGUCUAUCCAUAUAACAAGCAAAGAGAAAAUAUGCACAGCUCCUAUAGCCCUUAUUUCUGUAAUGAGGCUGUAGUUGAUCACCUAUGACUCCUUUCUCCCAUAGCCCAUCCCGUAUUUACUUUACGCUGCAGGCAGAACCUCAGAUGGUCAAGGUUCUUUAUCUGGUGAAAUGACCCAAACCUUCAUUCCCCAAGGAUCUGGGUCCUCCAUCAUCCUGCUUUUUUGGUUUUUUGCUUCUAUAGUUUUCUAUGAACCUUUGCUAGUGGCAUGAAAGUACUAAAAGGAACUCCAGAGAAUCCUACUGUAGAGCAGCAACUCAAUUUCCCCUGGGUGAUUAGGAUCAAUCAUUCUGGUCACUAGAGUAACAUUUUUAUCUGCUUAUUGAUUCUGUGGCAUAAGAAGCCCAAAGUGGCCAGACAGCAGUGUCAUCUUCCAGUAAGUAAGCUGCGGUAUCACAAAGCCUGGCAGUGAAGCGUGGAUUUGGAGCUGAGAGAUAAUAGUAAAUUGAUAACUGGCAUGAUUAUCCCUGUUUUUCAAAUGAGAAAACUGUGGUUCAGAGAGGUCAAUUGAGUACCUCAUGUCAUCUGCUUACAAGAGGCAGGGUCUCAGAUCUGCAGACCUCAGAUCUGAAUGUUCCUUUCUGCUCCUUAAAUGGGGUGGUUCACUAUCUACAAAACAGAAUCAGACUCACAGACACAGAGAACAGACUUGCAGUUGCCAAGAGGGAGGGGGGAUGGAGUGGGAUGGAUGGGGAGUUUGGGGUUAGCAGGUGUAAACUGUUACAUUUAGAAUGGAUAAGCAAUGAGGUCCUGCUGUAUAGCACAGGGAACUAUGUCCAAUCACUUGUGAUAGAACGUGAUAGAAGAUAAUAUGAGAAAAAGAAUGUAUAUAUAUGUAUGACUGCGUCACUUUGCUGUUCAGCAGAGAUUGGCACAACCCUGUAAAUCAACUAUACUUUAACAAUAAGUAAAUUAAUGUCGUGGUUCUGGUAGACUAGAUCAAGCAUCUGACCUGGUUCUGAACUCUAGCAUUUACUCACUCUGAGACCUUGGGCAACUCACCUAACUAUUCUGAGCCUCACUUUUCUCAGCCGUAAAGCUGGGCUAAUAGUCCCCAACUCAUAGGAUGAGAAUGAGAAUUGAAUGAGUUAACAGUCUAUGAAAACACUGUGUAAACUCAGCCAACUUCACAAAGUUAUCAUUACUAAGGAUUGUACAAACUCUCCAUUUACUACUCACCCACGGAAAAUUUUGAUGAAUUCCUUAGCACCUCAUAGUUUAUGAAGAAUGGUCUCUAUUAAGGGGAGUCACUGUACCAGGGCAGCAAAUGGGGUAAAUUCUAAAAUCAGCAGAAAACAUAGAGCAAGUGAGCAUAGUCUCGUGGAAGAAAUUGAUAGAGUUCUUUGUACCAAUAAUCUCCGAAUCUCAAUUAUUUUUUGCCAAAUAAUUUCUUUCAAGUCAUUUUGGGAAAUGGCUCACUGCCUUUUUCUAUUUUAUUAAAUCCGAGAACCUCAUUAAGUCAAAGUAUCAGUGAUGCAUUGUCAGCGGGGCAGAAAAUGGGGAAAAUCCUCGUUCAGUGUUUGAUCAUGAAAACCUUUCUAACGAAUCCAAGACAAACACAUUCCCCUCCUACUGCCUAUUCAUACGAGAUUAACUAUUGUGCUGGUUCACAAUAUUCAAUCAUCAUUUCUUACCCGUUUAAGAGCUGCUUGCAUGAAUUAGAAGUGGAGACCCAGCAAGCUCUGGUACAUUUUUCCACAUUCUCAGCAUUAGAAAUAUGGCUUAACUAAGUACAAUUAGAACAGCGAUGCAACUUUUAUUAAGAAAAGAAGAAACUAAAGCCGCUCUCCCUCCAAAAUAAAGAGAAGGAUAGUAGGAGAUUUAAAAUUUAUUUUCCACUCUCUAAUACCCUGGCCAGGCUGCUCCCAUAUUUUUAUUGUCCCACAUUUCAUAGCUCAUUAUUCCUAGUCCUGCCACAAACACCUACACUUGGCUUUUUCCUCCACUUCCUACAUUUCCUUCACGUCCCACUAAUAAUAAGCACUUGGACAUGUUUGAAGGAAAAACCACAAUUUCAGAAGCUCAGUGCAAUUUAUGAAAGUGUCCUUUUCCACCUGAUUUUCAGGGAAUUGUUACAUCACCAAGUGGGACCACUCUUUUAUACCUGUCUGAGAAUCUAAUUUGGUGUCUGGUUCAUAGAGGCACAAAAUAAAUAUUUGUUGAAUGUAGGCCUUUGAAUUCAUAUUCCAUAUCAAUACAAAAAUCUGAUAAGUAGACUUAUAGGAGGUCCUAAACUUCUCAGAUGGCAUUUAAAAUUAACUAGUUUGGUUCCAUAAUGCUAAAUCAAAAUUUUUUUUUUUUAGAAACAGUCUUCCUCUGAGUUCCCAUUGUGCCUCAGCAGAAAUGAAUCUGAUUAGCAUCCAUGAGGAUGCAUGUUAGAUCCCUGGCCUCACUCAGUGGGUUAAGGAUCCGGCAUUGCCGUGAGCUGUGGUGUAGAUCACAGACGAGGCUCAGAUCUGGCAUGGCUGUGGCCGUGGCGUAGGCCAGCGGCUACAGUUCCAGUUCAGUCCCUAGCCUGGGAACCUCCAUAUGCCGCAGGUGCAGCCCUAAAAAGACAAAAUAAAAAAAUUAAAAAAAAGAAGAAAAAAGAAAUAGUCUUCCUUCCUCAUUAUUAAUGUGAUAAAUGGUCUUUAUAGGUUCUUUGGGAAAAAACGAAGAUAUGAAUCACCCAUAAUCUUGAAAUACAGAUGGAACUACUUUUUAACAUUUUGUAUUUUCUUUCCAGUUUCUCUCUCUCUCUCUCCUGGCCCCCCUUCCUUCCUCUGUCUCUCUGAUUAGAAUAAUAAAAUACAUAGUUCAGUGUUCAGCUUUCUCACACUAUGUAUUUUUGUUCGUUUCUUUCUUUUUUUUUUUUUUCUUUUAGGGCCACAACUGCAGUAUAUGGAGAUACCCAGGCUAGGAGUAAAAUCGGAGCUGCAGCUGCCGGCCUAUGCCUCAGCCACGGCAAUGCAGGAUCCCAAACCCACUGAGUGAGGCCAGGGAUCUAACCCACACCCUCAUGGGUGCUAGUCGGAUUUGUUUCCACUGUGCCACAACAGGAACUCCUCAUACUGUGUAUUUUGAACACUCGUGUCAUUAUGUUGUCUUUGAAAAUAAAAAUUUUAAUAAAUGCAUAACAUUUCCUAAUAUAUAUGUUUAUAUGUGUUCCCUUAGAAUGUAUAUACACAGACGCACAGACACACACACUACUGCACUCCACAUAGCUAAACGUAUUGCUGACUGGAGUAAGGGAGCAAUAUUCUGGUCAAUGACAAUCUCACCUCGCAGAACAGACUGAUGAUUUCACAGAGGGUUUGGGGGGCAAGUGUGGAGUUCAGGGAUUAGCAGAUUUUCGAGAGCAAAAGUAGGUUGACAUCAACUCUAGAAAUGUGAUUAUUCUAGUGAGACUUCUGUUGAUAGGUUGCCACUGAUAAACAUAUUAAUUGGAGUAACUUCUUUCCUGGUUGGCUGGCUUUGGGACAUCAGACACUGUCACUUAUUGGUUGGUUUGCAUGUUCACCGAAGCAGGUUGGAUUAAUGGAUAGAAAGGGUUUAAAAUCCCACUAUAGUGGUACUUGUUACCAAGAUUAUAGAACAAAAGCAUUUUCCUAGGAAUAUGAGAAAUUUUUGAUUCUCAAUGCCAUAAUUUAUUUGAUCAUUCCCUUACUGUGGGAUAACUGGAUUAUUUACAAUUUUCCUACUAUUAUAAAUAAUGCUGCAGGGACCCUCCAAGCAAUCUUUGAGCACCUCUCUGGGUAUUUUCUUAGGAAAGUUUCCUGGGAGUGAAAUUGUUGAUUCAACAGAGGAUUUAAAAAUAAGUUUAUAAUGGUAAUAUAUGUUCAUUACAGAACAUUUAGCAAAUACAGAUGCAUAGAAAGAAGAAAAUUAAAGUCAUCCAUAAGCCACCCUC